GCCGAGGUGGUGGAAUUGGUAGACACGCUAGCUUCAGGAGCUAGUAGGAGCAAUCCUGUAGGAGUUCAAAUCUCCUUCUCGGCA
rnacentral:tRNA from 1 species